rnacentral:rRNA from 1 species
UGGGGAAUAUUGCACAAUGGGCGCAAGCCUGAUGCAGCCAUGCCGCGUGUGUGAAGAAGGCCUUCGGGUUGUAAAGCACUUUCAGCGGGGAGGAAGGCGGUGAAGUUAAUAACCUCAUCGAUCGACGUUACCCGCAGAAGAAGCACCGGCUAACUCCGUGCCAGCAGCCGCGGUAAUACGGAGGGUGCAAGCGUUACUCGGAAUUACUGGGCGUAAAGCGCACGCAGGCGGUCUGUCAAGUCGGAUGUGAAAUCCCCGGGCUCAACCUGGGAACUGCAUUCGAAACUGGCGGGCUAGAGUCUUGUAGAGGGGGGUAGAAUUCCAGGUGUAGCGGUGAAAUGCGUAGAGAUCUGGAGGAAUACCGGUGGCGAAGGCGGCCCCCUGGACAAAGACGGACGCUCAGGUGCGAAGGCGUGGGGAGCAAACAGG